UAGGCAGAAGCCCGCUGGUUUGGGCGUCUAGCUGUUAAUUAGAAUUUCAUGGGAUCGAAGCCCAUCUGUCUAG
rnacentral:tRNA from 1 species